UACGAAGGGGGCUAGCGUUGCUCGGAAUCACUGGGCGUAAAGCGCACGUAGGCGGAUUGUUAAGUCAGGGGUGAAAUCCUGGAGCUCAACUCCAGAACUGCCUUUGAUACUGGCGAUCUCGAGUCCGGGAGAGGUGAGUGGAACUGCGAGUGUAGAGGUGAAAUUCGUAGAUAUUCGCAAGAACACCAGUGGCGAAGGCGGCUCACUGGCCCGGAUCUGACGCUGAGGCGCGAAAGCGUGGGAGCAAACA
rnacentral:rRNA from 1 species